rnacentral:rRNA from 1 species
UGGGGAAUCUUGCACAAUGGGCGAAAGCCUGAUGCAGCAACGCCGCGUGCGGGAAGAAGGCCUUAGGGUUGUAAACCGCUUUCAGUAGGGAAGCGGUACCUACAGAAGAAGGUGCGGCCAACUACGUGCCAGCAGCCGCGGUGACACGUAGGCACCAAGCGUUAUCCGGAUUUAUUGGGCGUAAAGAGCUCGUAGGCGGUUCGGUAAGUCGGGUGUGAAACUCUGGGCUCAACCCAGAGACGCCACCCGAUACUGCUGGACUAGAGUGCGGUAGGGGAGCGGGGAAUUCAUGGUGUAGCGGUGAAAUGCGCAGAUAUCAUGAGGAACACCAGCGGCGAAGGCGCCGCUCUGGGCCGUAACUGACGCUGAGGAGCGAAAGCAUGGGUAGCAAACAGGAUUAGAUACCCGGGUAGU